AACCCUAAUGCGACUGUUUGGGUGACUUUCAGGAGAUGCUAAGGCCAUUAAGGUCAUGGAGGUGGCUCUGGUGGCCUUGCAGGAAGAGGGAGCAGCCCGUCUUUGUGCACACUGGAAGAGUCUCACUAGGCUGAGCUUUGGACUUGGCCACUUCUGGGUGGAGAGGAACCACGGCACCCAGGCUGACCAGGACCCAGGAACAAAGCCACAGCAGCCACGAAGUUCGAGACCCUGCCUCGAUCAGCCAGGAGCUCCGUCCAGUGAGACCCAUCAGGACCAAAGUGGUGAGCUGCAGACAUAAACUCAAAUUCCAGAGUCUCCUUCUAACCAGCUCAUAAAUGAAUUCCUAAAUGCUGACUGCGCCAGAAGACCCAGCGUUGGAAAACCACUUGGCAGGAAUCAUCCAUUUCAAAAUGAGAUGAACUGCUCUCUUUAGCCUCAUUGAAAACUUCACAGAAACGCCAGAUUUCCAUAAACACAGGUUCCCUUGAAUUUCCAGGGCUUUGAUUAACUGGUGGACCAGGGAGCCUCACAAAUACAGAUUUGUGAGCAAUAUUCAGUUUGGACGAGCUGGGCGCUGGAAACCAACCCCAGCCUCCCCUCUCCUGUCGAAGACGUUAACUCUUCCCUGCUCUCUGAGGCUCCUUUUGUUAUGAGGAGUUUGGAGAAUUAAGAAUUAGUCUCUGGUUUUAAAGCGUGGCGAUAUAUCAUCUUGCUGUCGUGCAUGUCAUCAUCUGUUAAGCUUUUUAUGACUGAUUGGCAGCCCGCUGCUUUAUAGUGUGGCUUUAAUGCCCCCGAGGAACGAGAGAAUUAAAAAAUACACUUCUCUGUCUGCUGAAAAGUCAUAAAGCUGUGGCUUCUACUAAGUAAAGAGAUUGCUUGCGAAGACAUAUUUUCUUUUUAAAAUGUGUUUUCAUUUUUCUUCCUACUGCCGCCCUUCUCCUCUGCCACUGGCACACGAAGCGAACAGAUUCACAGUUACAAGAUCUGGUGGUUGCCUUCAUUUUUAAUUUUUGGCUUCUGUGUUCAAGUCAAUAAAGGCCAAAUACAUCUGAAGGAUAAAUAGCCAAUUUUGUGUUUUCUGAAAAGCUGUUCCCUUCCAAGGCAGGGAGCCUGGAGUCAGAAUGGCCAGGAGUAAGGACCGGCUCUGUGGCCUCUGGGAGUUUCCUCUUCAUUUUGUUUAAUGCCUGUCAUUUGUCAGUGUGAUAUUAUGCAUCAGAAAGUGUGCAAAUGAGAGUAUGAGUCAAGCUAGUUACUCUGUUUAACCAGCUUGAAUUUUUUAUUUUUGUUUUGUUUUUAGGGGAAGCAAAAGGACUUGAAGAACAGAUAUAUUAAUUUUAGGUUGUAGCUUAACUUACAGCAGGGUUUUUAAAAAGAAAAAAGGAAUCCAGAGCGGUCAGCACAUUUGGCUUCAGUUUUAACCUAUUUCUGGUAGUAGAAACUCAAUCUGGGUCUCAACGAAUUGAAUCUUACCAGAGUUUCUCCGCAAUGUCAGCUUCCAGUUAUGAAAGGGGGAAAUAGAGAAGUCAUUCUUAGACAAGGCAGGAUAUAAAUUUCCCUCUGAGCCACAGGAGAGCAGGAGGAUUCCGAAAGCAAGAAGGAGGUAGAUUUCACCCAGGAAUGGCCAAGCAGCAGUCUGUGCAGUCACUUCCAAGCAGGGCUCUUAUUCUGGAUUUGUCACGAGAAUAACUCCACAUCCUCGGUGUUUUAUCUGCCAAGCCCAGUGAGCAUCUAAGGGGUGGCUCUGAAUCCUCUGGGCCCCUCCUCCACUGUCAUUGUCCUCAUCAUGCUAACUUCCCGCCCUAAGUGAUUCACUUAGAGAAUAACCCAGGAAAAAAUGAUGUAAGCUAAUUAGCUCUUUCACCUCCUCCUCCUCCUCCUCCUCCUGCUCCUCCUUCUGCUCCUCCUCCUCCUCCUCCACCUC
ensembl:lincRNA